AACGAACGCUGGCGGCGUGGAUUAGGCAUGCAAGUCGAACGCGAAAGAGGGGGGCAACUCCUCGAGUAGAGUGGCGAACGGGUGAGUAACGCGUGAAGAACCUGCCUUCAACAGGGGGGAUAACACUCCCAACGGGGUGCUAAUACCGCAUGAGACCACGGAGCUGCAUGGCUCUGAGGUCAAAGGUGGCCUCUAUUUAUAAGCUACCGGUUGAAGAUGGCUUCGCGUCCCAUUAGCUAGUUGGCGGUGUAAAAGACCACCAAGGCGACG
rnacentral:rRNA from 1 species